UCGAAACUUUAAAUUUAAUUUUCUUUUUACCGAGAACAUUUAAAAUUUAAACUACGCCAAAAUAAAAUGACUUCUUAUAUUCAUGUUUUAUUUAUAAUAUGAUAUAAUUUUUAUAUGUUUUAUAUUAUACAUUCCUUUUUUAUAUAAUAUCUGAUAUUCUAUAUUGCCGAAUUAAAUUUGAGCCUUAUUAUAUUCAAAUGAGUGAUGCUCUUUCGAAGACAACUUCUAAUUUUAAAGGUUGUGAAUAGUUUUAAAGGCUGUGUCAGAUCACAAGAAAAAUAGAUUAAAAUUCUCAAGCAAUCUAACAUUUUUUUUUUUUGGUAGUAUGGAUUUGGGAGAACGUGAAAAUAGAAGAGGAACCCAUUUUUUAAGUUGUUUGGUGUGCAAGAUCUCAUUUUUUAGAGGAAUUUAAUUCCAUCAAAAUUUAUCGUGUUGCUUGUGAGUAAUUUUUUUUUAUUCAAUUCCAUCAAGAAUAUAAUAACCAUGUUGCUUGUGAGUGAUUUCUCUGCCAUGACCUCGCCAUUGCCGCUGCCACUGACUCUAUGACUUCAAAUUGUCCCCUCUCGACUCCUCAAUCCUUUGUCUCCCCUCCUCAAGCCUUGGAUCGUGGCCUCCCUCUUGGAGGACUUGAUCCCUCAAUGUCCUCAAUCAUCGAUCCCUAUCAUCUCUCAUUGUGUUUCUGCUUCUUGAUUAUCCAUUGUCUCCAUCUCUGUCCUCUCGAAGAGUACUUCCAUAGGAACAUUGUUGUCUUUGAAGAAAUGGAAGCUUUUGGAUUUGUUUUAAUAGAGCAGCAUUGACGGAAAAGGUUUUGGGUUUGACUGUGCUGUUUUGUUUUUUGUUUUUUGGUUUUUUUGUAUUUUCCAACAAAGAUUGUCUUUUUUGGGCAAAAUGCAUGUGCCCGCUCAUAAAGCUUGCCUCUUUUUGAUAGUGUCUAUUUUUUUUUUUUUUUAGUUAUCAUUGGUGGUUGAUAUUUGCACAAAAAUGGUGGCUUUUGGUUCUUCCCGGGAUUGCUAGUGUCUUUAUGGUGGCCGAUUGUUGGUUCUAUGGUGGCAAAUGGAUGUUUUUUAUGGUCAAAGUUGUUUUUUGUUGUGGGUAUAGUUUUUAUGAUUAGGUUAUACUGAUAAUUUCACAUUAUAAAUAAAUAUUUUAAUUAAAAUUUAUAUUACACUUUUAUAGACAUACCAAAUAAAUUUUUGAAGCCACUUCUAUUUUAACUUUCACUUUCGUCAUAAACUCUUUUGUGCUACCACAUGAGAUAUGAAAUAAACUUUUUAUAAUGUCCUUCUUUGCAGGAAUAGGUGUAUGAUAGAAAUAUUGUCUUUGCUGGAAUAAUAAACAACAAAGAGUUUAAAGUAGAGGAGAUCGUGCACAAUCCCUGACUCCGAUUAUCCAUUCACACAUCCGAAGAUGAGACUGCAGAAAAAAUUUACCUGUGUAUGCAAAUGCAAGGCUACGCGUGGGUGCUUUACCUGUCUCGUGUCACUGUGUUCAUGUUUCUUUAGGCUGCUUACCAGACCCAGGCCCCAUUUAUUCCAAACUUUGCCAAGAAGUUAAUUACGCAAUAUGGUGACUAUUUCAAAAAGAAGAAAAAGAUCAUUAGUUAGGAGGUAAGUGCUGGACUCACGAGCCGUAAUGUAUUUUAAUACAACAUUUUAGCAGCACGAGGAUCUCACAGCACCUCAACUCUCACAAUCGCUCAUUUUCUAACUUGGAGCAAAGCUUAUAAAUAUAUACUCCCUCCGGUCCUAUUUAUAAGUCAUUUCUACCAACCUCAUCAAUACCAAUACAAUAAAAGUACAAGGAAUAAAAGUAAGUAAAAUUCCAAACAUGCCCCUAUAUAACAAAUCUAAAAAGUAAUGUCCUAUUACUUUUUCUCUCUCAUGAAGGGUAAUUUUGGAAAUACCUCUCAAAUAUUA